GUACUCGGGGUGCUGCCGGGAGAAAUCGGCAGCUGAGAACAUACCCGUCGAACCUGACCCGGAUAAUGCCGGCGUAGGGAAGGA
rnacentral:ncRNA from 1 species